CCAGCACCUUAAACCUGAUCCUGUACUCCACCGGGAGCCAGUGCAGCUGGUAUAGUACCGGAUGAAUGUGAUCUCGCAGCGAAGACCCCAUAAGGAGUCUCGCCGCGGCAUUCUGCACCCGCUGGAGUUUCUGGGUCAGUCUCAAGGGCAGCCCCACGUAGAGCGAGUUACAAUAAUCCAGUCUGGAGGUGACCGUCGCGUGGAUCACAGUGGCUAGGUCAGGGCGAGAGAGAUAAGGAGCCAACUGCUUAGCUUGGCGGAGAUGAAAAAAUGCCGCCUUUGUUAUAGCUGUAAUCUGCGCCUCCAUAGAGAGGGAGGUAUCGAAGAUUACACCCAAACUCUUAACGGACGAUGCUGGCACUAAUUGCGCCCCCGCAAGAGAUGGGAGUUGCCCCCUCAAUCCC